AGGCAAUCCGCGUCGGUUGCUGUGAGGUGGGAUGGUGCCUUUGAGGCUGGUUCUUGUGCUGCCUACCCCUUUCAAAGGGAAGAAGGCCACUUGCAGUUAGCCUCCAUCCGGCGCCUUCCAAUGGGCGCGGGAGGACAAAGAAGCACCCCCCGUGUUCCACCGAGCCUUUUCAUCGGACGCGUGGCCCACGGGGGAGUGCAAAGCUCUUGGACCCAGCGUAUGCCGUGGACGGGGACUCACGUCCCAGUCCCGAGAGGAGCUUAAGAUAUAACGGGUGACGGCCGCUCUCGCCCCAGGACCGCAUCGGCGGCGGGGGU
rnacentral:misc_RNA from 1 species